AACCUAAACAUGACAACUGGGUUUUCAUGCUAUUGCAUGAUACCUGCCUCCCUCAAAACUUGUUACAUCAUCAUAUCACUCACCUGAUA
rnacentral:snoRNA from 2 species